rnacentral:piRNA from 1 species
CGAGGUCUGGAACUCUGGUUGGAGC